rnacentral:rRNA from 1 species
GUGGGGAAUCUUCCGCAAUGGACGAAAGUCUGACGGAGCAACGCCGCGUGAGUGAUGACGGCCUUCGGGUUGUAAAGCUCUGUGAUCGGGGACGAAUGGCUGGUAUGCUAAUACCAUAUCAGAGUGACGGUACCCGAAUAGCAAGCCACGGCUAACUACGUGCCAGCAGCCGCGGUAAUACGUAGGUGGCAAGCGUUGUCCGGAACUAUUGGGCGUAAAGCGCGCGCAGGCGGCUUCUUAAGUCCAUCUUAAAAGUGCGGGGCUUAACCCCGUGAUGGGAUGGAAACUGGGAGGCUGGAGUAUCGGAGAGGAAAGUGGAAUUCCUAGUGUAGCGGUGAAAUGCGUAGAGAUUAGGAAGAACACCGGUGGCGAAGGCGACUUUCUGGACGAAAACUGACGCUGAGGCGCGAAAGCCAGGGGAGCGAACGGGAUUAGAUACCCCUGUAGUCC